GGAGAAGUCGCGUAGCCCGGUCGAGCGCGCACGAUUGGAAAUCGUGUAACCGUCAAAAGCGGUUCGAGGGUUCGAAUCCCUCCUUCUCCGCCA
rnacentral:tRNA from 1 species